GCCAGACUCCUACGGGAGGCAGCAGUGGGGGAUAUUGCACAAUGGGGGGAACCCUGAUGCAGCGACGCCGCGUGGGUGAAGGAGCGUUUCGGCGCGUAAAGCCCUAUCGGCAGGGAAGAAAAUGACGGUACCUGAAGAAGAAGCCCCGGCUAACUACGUGCCAGCAGCCGCGGUAAUACGUAGGGAGCGAGCGUUGUCCGGAUUUACUGGGUGUAAAGGGUGCGCAGGCGGCUCUGCAAGUCAGGCGUGAAAGCUAGGGGCUCAACCCCUAAACUGCGCUUGAAACUGUGGAGCUUGAGUGAAGUAGAGGCAGGCGGAAUUCCCGGUGUAGCGGUGAAAUGCGUAGAGAUCGGGAGGAACACCAGUGGCGAAGACGGCCUGCUGGGCUUUUACUGACGCUGAGGCUCGAAAGUGUGGGGAGCAAACAGGAUUAGAUACCCUCGUA
rnacentral:rRNA from 1 species